CCCUCCACGAUAGAAUAUGAAAUUGAAAAAUGAUGGCCAAGUUAGAACAUACCUAAGUAAUAUGAAGUACUGGUAAACAUUAUCAUAUUUUAAAAUAAAAGGACUUGUAUAUAGCUAUUGUUGGUGUAUAUUGAGCCCAUGUAUUAAUCUGCUAAUGGGUUGGGCCAAAACCAGUUUUAUGGGUUGGUUUUUUCAUUUGGGCCAACCAGUUUGGUGGUAAUCGGGCUGAGAUAGCUAAUGGAUUGGUUCGGUUUGGAUUCAUGAUUUAAGUGGGUCAAUCCGGUCUGGGCUGGUUUGCUCAUGGAUCCCGUCAUCUCAUCUGUCGUCCUCAUCGGCUCAGCAACGGCGGCAGCAGCGCAGCAGGUGCACAUGGCGUACUAGGACAUGCCGGGCGCUAAGAAGGCUGCCGGCAAGGCGUACUCAAGCUGCGACCCAUUCAAGCUGGAGCCCUGGAUCUCCGACCGCGUCGUGCUCCUCGUGGAGAACUCGCUGGCCGGCAGCAUCCACCGCAACUACGGUCUGAUGCUCCGGCACUAGCUCCACAUCGUCUGCAAGGUGAAGCUCCCCGUCCGUCUGUCCGUAGAUCCCCGUAGAUCCACUGGAUACUGCUCCCCUCUCCCAUGGAUCGAUAAGAAUCCUGCUAGCCUCAUGGAUUCCUAGCUCGAUCUCGCACUCUGGUUGCUAGCCCCUCAUUCUGCGUGUUCCUAACCCCAUGUAUUACUGUAAGCUGUACUUCUGAUUCUGAUCUGUGAUAUGGCAUAUUGACUCUAA